rnacentral:rRNA from 1 species
GAUGAACGCUGACGGAAUGCUUAACACAUGCAAGUCAACUUGAAUUUGGGUUUUUAUCUUCGGUUGGGGUUGCGGACGGGUGAGUAACGCGUAAAGAACUUGCCUCACAGCUAGGGACAACAUUUGGAAACGAAUGCUAAUACCUAAUAUUAUGAUAAUAGAGCAUCCUAUAAUUAUGAAAGCUAUAAGCGCUGUGAGAGAGUUUUGCGUCACAUUAGCUAGUUGGAGAGGUAGCGGCUCACCAAGGAGAUGAUGGGUAGCCGGCCUGGGAGGGUGAUCGGCCCCAAGGGGACAGAGGCACGGCCAGUACGCAUUCGUGAGGCAGGAGUGAGGAAUUUAGGAAGAAGGACCGAGAGUCUGAUGAAGCAAUUCUGUGUGCAAGAUGCAGUUUUUCGGAAUGUAAAGUGCUUUCAGUUGGGAAGAAACAAAUGACGGUACCAACAGAAGAAGCGACGGCUAAAUACGUG